rnacentral:rRNA from 1 species
UUUGAUUAUAAUUUAAAGUAGGGCCUGCCCACUGAAUAUUUAAAGGGCCGCAGUAUUUUGACUGUGCAAAGGUAGCAUAAUCAUUAGUUUUUUAAUUGAAAGCUAGAAUGAAUGGUUUGAUGAAAAAAUUUCUUUCUUUAUUUAAUUUUAAAAUAAAUUUAUUUUUAAGUUAAAAAGCUUAAAUAAUUUUAAUAGACGAGAAGACCCUAUAGAGUUUAAUUUUUAAAAUAAAUAAAUUUUUAGAAUUAAAAAAUUUAAUUAUCUAAAAAAAUUUAAUUGGGGUGAUUAUAAAAUUAAAUUAACUUUUAUUAUUUGAAACCAUUAAUUUAUGAAUAAAUGAUCCAUAAUAAUGAUUAAAAGAAUAAAUUACCUUAGGGAUAACAGCGUUAUUUUUUUUUAGAGUUCAAAUCGAAAAAAAAGAUUGCGACCUCGAUGUUGGAUUAAAGUUAAUUUUAGGUGCAGAAGCUUAAUAAUUUGGUCUGUUCGACCAUUAAAACUUUACA